UGUUUUAUGAUAUUUUGGAUUAGAUAAAUUAAGCUAAAUGCGCGAAUUGAUAUGCUUGGUAAUGUGAAAAAGUGUCAUAUGCAGUUUUGGGCUAUUUUCUACAGAAAUUAUAGACGACGUUACGAUGAAGGAUCGACGUCACGACGAGGAAUGUUGUGUGAUCACGACAUGAUAUAUUGUGUGAUUGAACCAUGUUUUGAUAAUUUUGCAAUACAAUUCUGAUUUUCAUACUUUGCAAUUGG
rnacentral:lncRNA from 1 species